rnacentral:rRNA from 1 species
UACGUAGGGGGCAAGCGUUGUCCGGAUUUAUUGGGCGUAAAGAGCGUGUAGGCGGUUUGGUAGGUCCGCUGUGAAAACUCGAGGCUCAACCUCGAGACGUCGGUUGAAACCACUUGGCUAGAGUCCGGAAGAGGAGUGUGGAAUUCCCGGUGUAGCGGUGAAAUGCGCAGAUAUCGGGAAGAACACCCGUGGCGAAGGCGGCACUCUGGGACGGUACUGACGCUGAGACGCGAAAGCGUGGGGAGCGAACAGG